rnacentral:rRNA from 1 species
UUGGAGGGCAAGUCUGGUGCCAGCAGCCGCGGUAAUUCCAGCUCCAAUAGCGUAUAUUAAAGUUGUUGCAGUUAAAAAGCUCGUAGUUGAAUUUCGGGAUCAAUUUAUCGGUCGUGCCUACGGUAUGAACUGGUACAAUUGGUUUCUCCCUUCUGACGAAGCAUGAUGUCAUUAAUUUGGUGUCGUGGGGAAUCAGGACUGUUACUUUGAAAAAAUUAGAGUGUCUAAAGCAAGCAUUAGCUUGAAUACAUUAGCAUGGAAUAAUGAAAUAGGACGUUUGAUCCUAUUUCGUUGGUUUCUAGGAUCGACGUAAUGAUUAAUAGGGAUAGUUGGGGGCAUUAGUAUUCAAUUGUCAGAGGUGAAAUUCUUGGAUUUAUUGAAGACUAACUACUGCGAAAGCAUUUGCCAAGGAUGUUUUCAUUAAUCAAGAACGAAAGUUAGGGGAUCGAAGACGAUCAGAUACCGUCGUAGUCUUAACCAUAAACUAUGCCGACUAGGGAUCGGAUGAUGUUAAUUUUUUAAUGACUCAUUCGGCGCCUUACGGGAAAC